UACAGAGGGUGCAAACGUUGCUCGGAAUUACUGGGCGUAAAGCGCGUGUAGGCUGACAUGCAAGUCGGAUGUGAAAUCCCAGGGCUCAACCUUGGAACUGCAUUCGAAACUGCACGUCUUGAGUACUGGAGAGGGAAGCGGAAUUCCGGGUGUAGAGGUGAAAUUCGUAGAUAUCCGGAGGAACACCAGUGGCGAAGGCGGCUUCCUGGACAGUAACUGACGCUGAGACGCGAAAGCGUGGGGAGCAAACAGGAUUAGAUACCCUGGUAGUCCACGCCGUAAACGAUGUGCACUAGGUGUCACGGACUUUGACCGCUGUGGUGCCGUAGCUAACGCGUUAAGUGCACCGCCUGGGGAGUACGGCCGCAAGGCUAAA
rnacentral:rRNA from 1 species